GAUCUUUGGAAGAGCGAGUGCUCGGGCCCGCCACUUGUCGCGCCGUCGGCCCUCGCCCUUUCAGACAGUCCGGGAACUGGUUCCCUCCAGCCGCCCUCACCUGUUCUGCCAUCCCCUGGAGGCACAAUAUAGCCAGACAGAUUAGACGGGAGAGAUUAGAUUUUUCGGCGUCAAAUGUACAUUUAGGCAACAGCCCUAGGACUGGAGCUGGCCGCAGUGGACCUAAGAAUCUGUAGCUGCCCGUCUGCCCUCACCUUUGUAGGAGGGUGGUGCGAGGAGGAAGCGUGGUGAUUGUGAGGAAGAGCAGAGGCACGCUGACGAAAAGGGGUGAGAGGAUUCAGUAACUUAGAGAGAACAAUUGGCGAGGUCAGAGAAUGCCUAAUAUUAUAUCAGUGUUGCUAUGAAAACCUGUUUACUUCUACUUUUCGUCCCCGGGAUUUGUUUUGUCUGAGUGCAGCUCUCCUCUCGGCGGCGACACUGAGUCAGCUCUUUGCUGGACUUGCCCUCUUGGAAAGAUAACCUUGAGACCAGAUAGCAACCUUAAUUAUCCCCACGCACUCACCCACCUUGCCCCCAGAAGACAGACCUGUUCAGGGGGAGCGUGGGGUAUAACAGGCUGACAGCAACUUCAUGGGACUCUGAAGGGCACACUGGAAAGCUUCCUAGAUUGAAGGGUUGAAGACUGACUGACCCUAGAAUAGAAAAGUAAUAAACAUCCCCUUGGAGACUUUCUCCCGAGAGAGGAGAUGAGGGAACUAUGUUUAAGGAAAUGGGAUGUCAAAGUGGCAAAGCCAGGCUUUGAAGUCACUUCUCUUAACCUCUGUGGAAGUGGAAGGGUGACAGAUAGAAGAGGUAAGGAACAUGAGAAGAAAGAAGCAAUUAUGUCACAGACGAGUUUCGUGAAGACCCAAGAGACUUACUG